CUGUCAAGCUCUUAUAUGGUGCAUUAGCAAACGGUACAUAGUCACGACUCUUAGGCCAAGGAAACGGAGUAACAUAGCCCUUGGGUGCCGGAAUUAGGCAAUGUAGCUUCUCUUCCUCCAUAGGACAAUGCCUCUCUCGAUAAAUCAUAUUUUCCCUAGGAAAAGUCAUAGCACGCCUCUGAUCUUGGCAGGGUGUGUAAUCAGUGUAACCCGGAUCACAAGGCUUGAACUCUUUAGGUUUUGAUUCAGAAUCAUUUAGAGUCUCAAUUUCACCACCAUGAUGGGUCUCAAAA
rnacentral:misc_RNA from 1 species